UACAGAGGGUGCGAGCGUUAAUCGGAAUUACUGGGCGUAAAGCGCACGUAGGUGGCGACGUAAGUCGGGUGUGAAAGCCCCGGGCUCAACCUGAGAAUUGCAUUCGAGACUGCAUUGCUGGAGUACGGAAGAGGAAGGCGGAAUUCCCGGUGUAGCGGUGAAAUGCGUAGAUAUCGGGAGGAACAUCAGUGGCGAAGGCGGGUCUCUGGGCCGAUACUGACGCUGAGGAGCGAAAGCGUGGGGAGCGAACAGG
rnacentral:rRNA from 1 species